rnacentral:piRNA from 1 species
AGCCACAGCAGUGAAGAACUCCUACAGGC